rnacentral:rRNA from 1 species
UACGUAGGGGGCAAGCGUUGUCCGGAAUCAUUGGGCGUAAAGCGCGUGUAGGCGGCCCGAUGAGUCCGCUGUGAAAGUCCAGGGCUCAACCCUGGAAUGCCGGUGGAUACUGUCGGGCUCGAGUCCGGAAGAGGCGAGUGGAAUUCCUGGUGUAGCGGUGAAAUGCGCAGAUAUCAGGAAGAACACCAAUGGCGAAGGCAGCUCUCUGGGACGGUACUGACGCUGAGACGCGAAAGCGUGGGGAGCGAACAGG